rnacentral:rRNA from 1 species
CCUACGGGGUGCAGCAGUGAGGAAUAUUGGUCAAUGGACGAGAGCCUGAACCAGCCAAGUCGCGUGAAGGAUGACUGCCCUAUGGGUUGUAAACUUCUUUUAUAAAGGAAUAAAACGAGGCACGUGUGCCUUUUUGUAUGUACUUUAUGAAUAAGGAUCGGCUAACUCCGUGCCAGCAGCCGCGGUAAUACGGAGGCUCCGAGCGUUAUCCGUAUUUAUUGGGUUUAAAUGGAGCGUAGAUGGGUUGGUAAGUCAGUUGUGAAAGUUUGCGGCUCAACCGUAAAAUUGCAAUUGAUACUGGCAGUCUUGAGUACAGUUGAGGUAAGCGGAAUUCGUGGUGUAGCGGUGAAAUGCGUAGAUAUCACGAAGAACCCCGAUUGCGAAGGCAGCUUACUAAACUGUAACUGACAUUGAUGCUCGAAAGUGUGGGUAUCAAACAGGAUUAGAUACCCGAGUAGUC